AGUGAGAUGGCCGAGCGGUCUAAAGGUGCCAGACUGGGGUCAAGGAGUUCGACAAAGUAUCCUUGAUAUCUGCUUUCGUCGGGGGCUGGAGUUCGAAUCUCCCUCUCAUCA